rnacentral:tRNA from 1 species
CCCGGCCUGCCGGGGUCCACGGGGUUCGCCGGGGGCCGGCCGGAAAGCGGGGCCGCGGUCAGCGCGUUCCGCGGUGCGCGGCCGGAG